rnacentral:rRNA from 1 species
ACGGAGGGGGCUAGCGUUGUUCGGAAUUACUGGGCGUAAAGCGCACGUAGGCGGCUUUGUAAGUUAGAGGUGAAAGCCCGGGGCUCAACUCCGGAAUUGCCUUUAAGACUGCAUCGCUUGAACGUCGGAGAGGUAAGUGGAAUUCCGAGUGUAGAGGUGAAAUUCGUAGAUAUUCGGAAGAACACCAGUGGCGAAGGCGACUUACUGGACGAUUGUUGACGCUGAGGUGCGAAAGCGUGGGGAGCAAACAGG